AAAAAUAACAAAUUCAAUAUACUGACGCACUUACUAGCGUCAUUUUUUCUGAUGGUUAAACCCACGAUCUUAUAUACAGAUUAAACCGUGGUUAAACCAGAAAAAAAUACAAAAUAAAUCUACGUGUCUGACAACGGAAAUACAUCGAGGACGCAGGCGGCCAUCUUCCUUUUUAACGGUCUCGUUCAAUUCAAAAUAUCUACGAACGUUUCGUAUCACUUUGAAAGGUGGUUACGACUUAAUAAUUACAAAGCGCUAUCCGUCGUUUAAUUGAAUAAUAACGAGCAUCGAUAAACGGAAUAACGCUCUGGACACAUGACUUUUUAUAACGUAAUUACGUAAUGCCGACCUUGAUCCGAUAAAUCAGCUAAAUUAUGUCAAUGGACGGUAAUGGAGUUCAAGGAGUUAUCGAAUCGCGUUCGAGGGAGAAUGACACUGUCAUAGCGUCCGUACAAGCAUGUAUUUCUUCAUUUUCGCCGUUCACUGUGACAAGAUAGAUUCAUAAUAUUUCAUUCGCUCCCUGCCACCAUGGAUAACGUUGAGGAAUCCUAACCCACGAGGUAUCGUCAUCAAAUUGUUUCGUGCAUAACCUCUUUAGAAUAGGAAGAAGUAGAAACCGGCGCGACGCCGACGGCGCGGAAUGCCAAUGACAAGAGGCGACGAAGGGAACAGAGAAGCAUGAAAGAAAAAUAUUCGUUGCAGACAUUAAGGGAAGGAGUAAAUGAGACGGAAAAUACGCAUAGUGGCAAGAACGAGACUGUGUGUGCCAAAGAAAGAGAAAGAGAGGGUAUCAUGCGCGUUAGAAAUUUUGGCAAAGUACCAAAAGUCAGUCUAUAUAUAUUUAGAUUGUCGCCAACGUAUUUUACGCCUUUCCCGCAGUAUUGCAAAAUCCAAAUAUUGCAUCCUUACGAGUUUGAGUAUUCAUCCAUGCAGGAGUUCAAGAAGUGACUGUAGACUAAGAGAAAAAAUGACAAAGAGACAAUGCCUUUAAUACCACCAAAGCAAAGGGACGCGGCAGCUUCGCUUUAAGCAGAAAAGGUACAGUCGUCAACGGCAAAGCGACAGAAAAUCAGGAGAUACAAUGAGUCAUAAGUUGUCGAGACAGAACGGUAGGCGAGGACAACGACUGGAUAGAAGAUCAGAUUUCUAUUACCGGUUUUCUCAAAAACAGUCGCCACAGAGCUAUGCAUAGUCUGCAGAGACUACCAAGAGCAAGAAGGGUCGAGUCUUCAUGACGUGGAAUCAGUCUAGCGAAUAUGGACACUGGUUGUGUCUACCAUCAACUGAGAAUCCCGCUCGAAUUUCAGGAACCUCCUUGAACAGGGUCAAUAAGUAUUGCAAGUGGAGGAAGAAGUAUUAUCAGUAAAAUUAUCAGCAAAAAUCCCGCCUCGCCAGAGUCAUGAUCAUCAUUAUGAUCAUCGUUCCAUGGGGUUACGUCCAAUCAGAGAAUUUUUACGAGUGUGGCAAUGUCAGCCACUGUCACUCGUGCUUCCAGAGUGCUUGUGUGAAGCUUGAAGGUAAAUUGUAGAGAUUGAAUAAUUCCUAGGAACGAAGAAAGGAACUGAAGAGACAGACUAUCUUGUAAUGCUCGAUACGUCUCUCGAAUGUAACGAAGUUCGGUAUUUAAAAAUAGACACUUUUAUCAACUCCACUAUCCACGAGCGAAGAUGCUAACAGCGAGAGAGGAUGAGGAGAUGAAGAGAGUUCUAAAAGAGAAAGGAAGGAUAGGACAGAGAUAUAGACAGCCAGUAUAUAUUAUGAUACGGGGGAAGAAACCUGAGAGCUAGAGUACCGGCGACGUUGUAUCGCUCUACGGGUUUAUAUUUAUACACACCGGUCGGCUUAUAAUAGCAGCCCCGGCUUCCCAUUUGUGUGAAAUGCAUGCAUACACACCUUGUCUUAGGUCAAGCACUGACUACUGUAAUUAAAUCAAGGACCAUAUUGUUCUUCUUCCAUCGGUCGAUUUUCUUCUAAAUCUUUUAAUUUAUUAAAUUUUUCGAACUGUGGAUGUGAUCAAUGAUUGUUCAUUUUAUGUUGUUUUCCAGAGAAAUUUAUUCAAGAGAGUAAGAAAGAGAAAUAUUCAAUAUUAUUUUGGUACAGUGGUGGCGGGCCGACAGCCCUUAUGGAAUGCCAACCGGUUUUUCAAUCUUAUUUGUUUCCAAUGACUUCAGCAAACGUGCCGGUUGGUACAAGAACCCAGGAACUAUAGAAAA